UACGGAGGGUGCAAGCGUUAUCCGGAUUCACUGGGUUUAAAGGGUGCGUAGGAGGGCAGGUAAGUCAGUGGUGAAAUCUCCGAGCUUAACUUGGAACUGCCGUUGAUACUAUCUGUCUUGAAUAUUGUGGAGGUGAGCGGAAUAUGUCAUGUAGCGGUGAAAUGCUUAGAUAUGACAUAGAACACCAAUUGCGAAGGCAGCUCGCUACACAUAUAUUGACUCUGAGGCACGAAAGACGUGGGGAUCAAACAGG
rnacentral:rRNA from 1 species